rnacentral:rRNA from 1 species
GGCAGGCGGGCUAUAAUGCAGUCGUGCGGACCUUUUAAAAGCUUGCUUUUAAAAGGUUAGCGGCGGACGGGUGAGUAACACGUGGGCAACCUGCCUGUAAGAUCGGGAUAACGCCGGGAAACCGGGGCUAAUACCGGAUAGUUUUUUCCUCCGCAUGGAGGAAAAAGGAAAGACGGCUUCUGCUGUCACUUACAGAUGGGCCCGCGGCGCAUUAGCUAGUUGGUGGGGUAACGGCUCACCAAGGCAACGAUGCGUAGCCGACCUGAGAGGGUGAUCGGCCACAUUGGGACUGAGACACGGCCCAAACUCCUACGGGAGGCAGCAGUAGGGAAUCUUCCGCAAUGGACGAAAGUCUGACGGAGCAACGCCGCGUGAGUGAAGAAGGCCUUCGGGUCGUAAAACUCUGUUGCCGGGGAAGAACAAGUGCCGUUCGAACAGGGCGGCGCCUUGACGGUACCCGGCCAGAAAGCCACGGCUAACUACGUGCCAGCAGCCGCGGUAAUACGUAGGUGGCAAGCGUUGUCCGGAAUUAUUGGGCGUAAAGCGCGCGCAGGCGGCUUCUUAAGUCUGAUGUGAAAUCUUGCGGCUCAACCGCAAGCGGUCAUUGGAAACUGGGAGGCUUGAGUGCAGAAGAGGAGAGUGGAAUUCUACGUGUAGCGGUGAAAUGCGUAGAGAUGUGGAGGAACACCAGUGGCGAAGGCGGCUCUCUGGUCUGUAACUGACGCUGAGGCGCGAAAGCGUGGGGAGCAAACAGGAUUAGAUACCCUGGUAGUCCACGCCGUAAACGAUGAGUGCUAAGUGUUAGAGGGUUUCCGCCCUUUAGUGCUGCAGCUAACGCAUUAAGCACUCCGCCUGGGGAGUACGGCCGCAAGGCUGAAACUCAAAGGAAUUGACGGGGGCCGCACAAGCGGUGGAGCAUGUGGUUUAAUUCGAAGCAACGCGAGAACCUUACCAGGUCUUGACAUCUCUGAUCUCCCUGGAGACAGGGCUUCUCCUUCGGGGACAGAGUGACAGUGUGCAUGUGUCGUCAGCUCGUGUCGUGAGAUGUGGGUAGUCCCGCACGAGCGCACCUUGACUAGUGCCGCAUUCAGUGGGCCUCUAGGUGACUGCCGGUGACAAACCGAGAAGUGG